AUUGAACGCUGGCGGCAGGCUUAACACAUGCAAGUCGAGCGGGGUGAUGGUGCUUGCACUAUCACUUAGCGGCGGACGGGUGAGUAAUGCUUAGGAAUCUGCCUAUUAGUGGGGGACAACAUCUCGAAAGGGAUGCUAAUACCGCAUACGUCCUACGGGAGAAAGCAGGGGAUCACUUGUGACCUUGCGCUAAUAGAUGAGCCUAAGUCGGAUUAGCUAGUUGGUGGGGUAAAGGCCUACCAAGGCGACGAUCUGUAGCGGGUCUGAGAGGAUGAUCCGCCCAACUGGGACUGAGACACGGCCCAGACUCCUACGGGAGGGAGCAGUGGGGAAUAUUGGACAAUGGGGGGAACCCUGAUCCAGCCAUGCCGCGUGUGUGAAGAAGGCCUUAUGGUUGUAAAGCACUUUAAGCGAGGAGGAGGCUCUUUUGGUUAAUACCCAAGAUGAGUGGACGUUACUCGCAGAAUAAGCACCGGCUAACUCUGUGCCAGCCGCCGCAGUAA
rnacentral:rRNA from 1 species